UACAGAGGGGGCAAGCGUUAUUCGGAAUUAUUGGGCGUAAAGGGCGCGUAGGCGGCUUGGCAAGUGGGUGGUGAAAUCCCUCGGCUUAACCGAGGAACUGCCAUCCAGACUGCAUUGCUUGAGGCCGGGAGAGGUGAGUGGAAUUCCCAGUGUAGCGGUGAAAUGCGUAGAUAUUGGGAGGAACACCAGUGGCGAAGGCGGCUCACUGGACCGGUACUGACGCUGAGGCGCGAAAGCGUGGGGAGCAAACGGG
rnacentral:rRNA from 1 species